rnacentral:lncRNA from 1 species
AACCUCAAAAAAACAAUAAGCGGAAGCAAAAUAACACAUUUCCUAUGGCAAUCACGCUUCCUUCCUGCCCUCGCCGGUUUGCCGCCUUUAUUACCUUUGCCUGAAAAUUAAACAUAAGAAGGGUGAGUAUAAAAUACCAGUAAGAGACCCUCUACUGGUCCCGUCAGGGGAAAAUAAAUUGUUAACAUUCUAUUGGGACACCCUGUACAGUCGCAGUCUUGUGAUCCCGUAGGAUGCACAUUUCAGUCUAACCCGAGGGACGUACAUUUCAGUCUAGUGUUCUGCAGAAACACAUAUCAGUCUAAUGCUCCCGAAGGUGCAGAAUAAAUUGGUGAUCCCGUGGGACACCUACAAGGCACACAUCCCAAUAAAAGCUAACAAUUUUCCCCUCAAUCCAUUCAAUACCAUCUUUCAGUUACUUCAAAAUAUAAAGUUCUUUCACUCAACGUUCUAACAGUCAACUUAUCUCACUUUAGUCAAUGUCUGUCAAUAACAUACUAAUACGUCAGUCAAUCAAACUAUAGUCAUAACCCCUCAGUUCACCAGCACACAGUCAUACUUUAGUAACGUACACCCAUCUAAACGACAAUCACAAGUUCACAUCCGCAUCUCAUACAAACACAAUCUACAAUUUUCGUCCUGUCUACAUCCACACACAUAUAUAUAUAUUCCAAGACAAUCACAAUAUGCAUUCAACAUCAAGUCUACUUCAAAUAUGUAUAUAUAUAUUUUCAGUCAUCCACAGUAUACAUUCAACACCGAAUCUACAUCCAUACGUGUAUAUAUAUAAUCUCAACAUAUACAGACAUACAAUUCACAAUCAUAAGUGAGUCCGGUAGAAAAUCCCUUACCUCAAAGUUAGGGAAGCUCCUUAAUCAACUAACGUUCUCGAAACAAUCCUAAGCAUAACAAUACAAAAUUCGAUUACUUUCACGACACAUAUCUCACAAAAUUCGAUCUGACACGGCGACCGGGCUUCACAAGAUGUAUGCGUCGACGACUUCACGGAGGUGAAGACAGACGCGGUCGGAGAGUGGCGCGGCAGUGCAGAAAAAAGAGGAGAACGGAAUGGGCGGCGGCUGGAAACAGAGGUUGCGCGGCAGGGCUUCACGAACCGCGCCGACGGUUGCAGCGACGGAUUUGGGCUACUGCGAACUGCAAGGGUGAAGCACGAGCGGCGGCGAGGACCUGGACGGCUCGGCGAUGCAGAUCUGGACAACGGUUGUGAGCGGAGGGCGUGGCGGUUAAUGGUUCACGCGGCGGCCUUGGCUUCGACGGAGACACAGCAAUGGCGCGGAGACGGUUGCAGCGGCGGUUAGGACUGGGCACGGCGACGCAGAUCUGGACAGAAAGUUACGCGGUGGCCGACGGUUACAGCGACAGUUUUGGAUCGAAGAAGAAAAGAAAGUGGGUUCGGCUUUGGUGAACGGAGGAAGAAACAGACGUUGCGGUUGAGUUCGGCUCGAUCCGGCGGAACGGAGAGGAGAAGAGGAGAAGGGAUGGUCGGCGGCUGCUUGCUGCGAACGGGAGAAGAGAGGGACGGUCGGCGGCGCACGAGAGGAAGAAGAAAAGGGAAAAAAAA